rnacentral:rRNA from 1 species
AGAAAUCUCACCAGGCCCGGACACUGGAAGGAUUGACAGAUUGAUAGCUCUUUCUUGAGUCGGUGGGUGGUGCAUGGCCGUUCUUACUUGGUUGAGUGAUUUGUCUGGUUAAUUCCGUUAACGAACGAGACCUUAACCUGCUAAAUAGUGACGCGGUUCAUCGAACCGUGGGCCACUUCUUAGAGGGACUAUCGGAUUCAAACCGAUGGAAGUGUGAGGCAAUAA